ACCCUGCGGUGCACGUGGUCACCUUGAAGUUUUGAGCCAACACCAAUUAAAAGGGAGCCUGGGCUCUGGGUGUGGAAUGUAGGCCUCACAAGGGAGGAAACAUGAAGCACUCAGGAGGGCACCCACCUGUUGAGAACAGGUUCAAGAAACUUUAGGGAUACACGGCACCAUGGGGUU
rnacentral:other from 1 species